rnacentral:rRNA from 1 species
GACGAAGGAUGCAAGCGUUAUCCGGAUUCAUUGGGUUUAAAGGGAGCGUAGGUGGACUGAUAAGUCAGUGGUGAAAUCUCUUCGCUUAACGAAGAAAUUGCCAUUGAUACUGUUGGUCUUGAGUACAGUUGCUGUGGGCGGAAUAUGACAUGUAGUGGUGAAAUACAUAGAGAUGUCAUAGAACACCGAUUGCGAAGGCAGCUCACAAAGCUGUAACUGACACUGAGGCUCGAAAGUGCGGGGAUCAAACAGGAUUAGAUACCCUGGUAGUCCGCACCGUAAACGAUGAUUACUCGCUGCUAGAGGGCAACUUUUAGUGGCUUAGCGAAAGCGAUAAGUAAUCCACCUGGGGAGUACGCCGGCAACGGUG